GGCCGUAUCACAUUGAAACAUUGGUUCUCGUCCGAUCACCAAAGUUAAGCAACAUCGAGCCUGGUCUGUACGUAGAUGGCUGACAGCUUAGGAAUACCAGGCGCUAUA